rnacentral:rRNA from 1 species
AAUAUUGGACAAUGGGGGCAACCCUGAUCCAGCCAUGCCGCGUGUGUGAAGAAGGUCUUCGGAUUGUAAAGCACUUUAAGUUGGGAGGAAGGGCUUUAGGUUAAUACCCUGAAGUUUUGACGUUACCAACAGUAUAAGCACCGGCUAACUCUUUGCCAGCAGCCGCGGUAAUACAGAGGGUGAAAGUGCUAACGGGAAUUACUGGGCGUAAAGCGCGCGUAGGUGGUUCAGUAAGAUGGGUGUGAAAUCCACGGGCUUAACCUGGGAACUGCUUUCAUAACUGCUGAGCUAGAGUACGGUAGAGGGUAGUGGAAUUUCCUGUGUAGCGGUGAAAUGCGUAGAUAUAGGAAGGAACACCAGUGGCGAAGGCGACUACCUGGACUGAUACUGACACUGAGGUGCGAAAGCGUGGGGAGCAAACA